CGUUUCAUUUAUAUUUGAGUGAAAGAGCUUCACCGAAUUGAAACACCGAGGGACGACAAAAAACGAGAAAGCGAUUCACGCGAAGAUCCAAAUGAAAAAUGUGUUCCUCGGGGGGUUUCACCA
ensembl:ncRNA M03F8.9 ncRNA